AUGCUGGAUGCCGGCGAUCUUGAACGCCUCCGCCGCGUUAACCUUGUUGCCGUCCGGAGCAGUGGCCACGGAGUUUGCCCGACCGGUCACCAGGCCCGCGAUAUAGGAAAGCGGGACGAGGUCACCCGAGGCGGUGAUUGUGCCCCGGAGAGGCAGGCAUGGUGUCACGUUGGCGUUGAGAAGCGCAGCGACCGUCUCGAGGAUCUCAAAGCGGAUGCCGGAGUACCCCUGGAGCAGUGUGUUGACACGGACAAGCAUCGCCGCCCUUGUCGCUGCGGCGGGCAGAACGUGGUCGUGGCCACCGGUACCGAAGGCUCCGGCAUUAAGAAAUCUGAACAGACAAGAAGUGCAAGAAAAUAA
rnacentral:rRNA from 1 species